AGUGAACGCUGGCGGUAGGCCUAACACAUGCAAGUCGAACGGCAGCACAGUAAGAGCUUGCUCUUACGGGUGGCGAGUGGCGGACGGGUGAGGAAUACAUCGGAAUCUACUUUUUCGUGGGGGAUAACGUAGGGAAACUUACGCUAAUACCGCAUACGACCUACGGGUGAAAGCAGGGGAGCUUCGUACCUUGAGCGACUGAAUGAGCCGAUGCCGGAUUAGCUAGUUGGCGGGGUAAAGGCCCACCAAGGCGACGAUCCGUAGCUGGUCUGAGAGGAUGAUCAGCCACACUGGAACUGAGACACGGUCCAGACUCCUACGGGAGGCAGCAGUGGGGAAUAUUGGACAAUGGGCGCAAGCCUGACGCAGCCACACCGCGUGGGUGAAGAAGGCCUUCGGGUCGUAAAACCCUUUUAUUGGGGAAGAACAGCUGCAUGUUAAUCCCUGGCUGUUCUGACGGUACCCAAAGAAUAAGCACCGGCUAACUUCGUG
rnacentral:rRNA from 1 species